rnacentral:rRNA from 1 species
GACGAACGCUGGCGGCGUGCUUAACACAUGCAAGUCGAACGGAAAGGCCCUGCUUUUGUGGGGUGCUCGAGUGGCGAACGGGUGAGUAACACGUGAGUAACCUGCCCUUGACUUUGGGAUAACUUCAGGAAACUGUGGCUAAUACCGGAUAGGAGCUCCUGCUGCAUGGUGGGGGUUGGAAAGUUUCGGCGGUUGGGGAUGGACUCGCGGCUUAUCAGCUUGUUGGUGGGGUAGUGGCUUACCAAGGCUUUGACGGGUAGCCGGCCUGAGAGGGUGACCGGCCACAUUGGGACUGAGAUACGGCCCAGACUCCUACGGGAGGCAGCAGUGGGGAAUAUUGCACAAUGGGCGGAAGCCUGAUGCAGCAACGCCGCGUGCGGGAUGAAGGCCUUCGGGUUGUAAACCGCUUUCGCCUGUGACGAAGCGUGAGUGACGGUAAUGGGUAAAGAAGCACCGGCUAACUACGUG